rnacentral:rRNA from 1 species
UCUCCAGACUCCUACGGGAGGCAGCAGUGAGGAAUAUUGGUCAAUGGACGGAAGUCUGAACCAGCCAUGCCGCGUGCAGGAAGACGGCUCUAUGAGUUGUAAACUGCUUUUGUACAAGGGUAAACCUGAAUACGUGUAUUCAGCUGAAAGUACUGUACGAAUAAGGAUCGGCUAACUCCGUGCCAGCAGCCGCGGUAAUACGGAGGAUGCGAGCGUUAUCCGGAUUUAUUGGGUUUAAAGGGUGCGUAGGCGGAACAUUAGGUCAGCGGUAAAAUCGAGGGGCUCAACCCCUUUAAGCCGUUGAAACUGGUGAUCUUGAGUGGGCGAGAAGUAUGCGGAAUGCGUGGUGUAGCGGUGAAAUGCAUAGAUAUCACGCAGAACUCCGAUUGCGAAGGCAGCAUACCGGCGCCCGACUGACGCUGAGGCACGAAAGCGUGGGGAUCGAACAGGAUUAGAUACCCGAGUACUA